rnacentral:rRNA from 1 species
GACGAACGCUGGCGGCGUGCUUAACACAUGCAAGUCGAACGGAAAGGCCCUGCUUUUGUGGGGUGCUCGAGUGGCGAACGGGUGAGUAACACGUGAGUAACCUGCCCUUGACUUUGGGAUAACUUCAGGAAACUGGGGCUAAUACCGGAUAGAAGCUCCUGCUCCAUGGUGGGGGUUGGAAAGUUUCGGCGGUUGGGGAUGGACUCGCGGCUUAUCAGCUUGUUGGUGGGGUAGUGGCUUACCAAGGCUUUGACGGGUAGCCGGCCUGAGAGGGUGACCGGCCACAUUGGGACUGAGAUACGGCCCAGACUCCUACGGGAGGCAGCAGUGGGGAAUAUUGCACAAUGGGCGGAAGCCUGAUGCAGCAACGCCGCGUGCGGGAUGACGGCCUUCGGGUUGUAAACCGCUUUCGCCUGUGACGAAGCGUGAGUGACGGUAAUGGGUAAAGAAGCACCGGCUAACUACGUG